AGGGUUCGAUUAUGGCUCAGGAUGAACGCUAGCGACAGGCUUAACACAUGCAAGUCGAGGGGCAGCACAGGUAGCAAUACCGGGUGGCGACCGGCGCACGGGUGAGUAACGCGUAUGCAACUUACCUAUCAGAGGGGGAUAACCCGGCGAAAGUCGGACUAAUACCGCAUGAAGCAGGGGCCCCGCAUGGGGAUAUUUGCUAAAGAUUCAUCGCUGAUAGAUAGGCAUGCGUUCCAUUAGGCAGUUGGCGGGGUAACGGCCCACCAAACCAACGAUGGAUAGGGGUUCUGAGAGGAAGGUCCCCCACAUUGGAACUGAGACACGGUCCAA
rnacentral:rRNA from 1 species